UAGUCCACGCCCUAAACGAUGCUAACUCGAUAUUUGGGCUUUACGUCUGAGUGUCUAAGGGAAACCAAUAAGUUAGCCACCUGGGGAGUACGUUCGCAAGAAUGAAACUCAAAGGAAUUGACGGGGGCCCGCACAAGCGGUGGAGCAUGUGGUUUAAUUCGAUGAUACGCGAGGAACCUUACCAGGGCUUAAAUGCAGAGCGACCGUUCUGGAAACAGAACUUUCUUCGGACGGUUUGCAAGGUGCUGCAUGGUUGUCGUCAGCUCGUGCCGUGAGGUGUCGGGUUAAGUCCCAUAACGAGCGCAACCCCUAUUCUUAGUUGCCAGCGGAUAAUGCCGGGGACUCUAAGGAAACUGCCAGUGUAAGCUGUGAGGAAGGUGGGGAUGACGUCAAAUCAUCACGGCCCUUACGUCCUGGGGCUACACACGU
rnacentral:rRNA from 1 species